UACCUGGUUGAUCCUGCCAGUAGUCAUAUGCUUGUCUCAAAGAUUAAGCCAUGCAGGUCUAAGUACAUGCCGAAUUAAGGUGAGACCGCGAAUGGCUCAUUAUAUCAGUUGUGGUUCCUUAGAUCUUCGGUUACACUUGGAUAACCCUGGUAAUUCUAGAGCUAAUACAUGCAUUGCAACACCGACCUUCGGGGAGGUGUGUUUUUAUUAGCCCAAAACCAAUCGUUGCCUUCGGGUGACGAAACCUUGGUGACUCAGAGUAACUUUGUUCAGAUCGCAUGGCUUUUCGCCGGCGACGCAUCUUUCAAAUGUCUGCCUUAUCAACUAGUUGGUUGGUUAAAUGCCAACCAAGGUGGUAACGGGUAACGGAGAAUCAGGGUUCGAUACCGGAGAGGGAGCCUGAGAAACGGCUACCACAUCCAAGGAAGGCAGCAGGCACGCAAAUUACCCACUCCCGGCUCGGGGAGGUAGUGACGAAAAAUAACAAUACCGGACUCUUCCGAGGCUCGGUAAUUGGAAUGGGUACACUUCAAAUCCUUUAACGAGGAUCUAUUGGAGGGCAAGUCUGGUGCCAGCAGCCGCGGUAAUUCCAGCUCCAAUAGCGUAUAUUAAAGUUGCUGCGGUUAAAAAGCUCGUAGUUGGAUCUCAGUCUCGAUCGGACGGUCCGGAGUUUUUCGGUACUGUUCGAAUCGGACAUUGAGCCGCCUUUUGCAGUAUCCUCUUGAUUGAGUGUACUGUGGAAGUGGCACGUUUACUUUGAAAAAAUUAGAGUGCUCAAAGCAGGCGUUUGCCUGAAUCUUCGUGCAUGGAAUGAUGGAAUAGGGCCUCGGUUCUAUUUUGUUGGUUUCCGGAACUCGAGGUAAUGAUUAAGAGGGACGGACGGGGGCAUUCGUAUUGUGACGUUAGAGGUGAAAUUCUUAGAUCGUCGCAAGACGAACUACUGCGAAAGCAUUUGCCAAGAAUGUUUUCAUUAAUCAAGAACGAAAGUCAGAGGUUCGAAGGCGAUCAGAUACCGCCCUAGUUCUGACCAUAAACGAUGCUGACUAGCGAUCCGUCGGCGUUAAUCCACAUGACCCGACGGGCAGCUUCCGGGAAACCAAAGUUUUUAUGUUCCGGGGGAAGUAUGCGUUGCAAAACUGGAACUUAAAGGAAUUGACGGAAGGGCACCACCAGGAGUGGAGCCUGUGGCUUAAUUUGACUCAACACGGGAAAUCUCACCAGGCCCGGACACCGGCAGGAUUGACAGAUUGAUAGCUCUUUCUUGAUUCGGUGGGUGGUGGUGCAUGGCCGUUCUUAGUUGGUGGAGUGAUUUGUCUGGUUAAUUCCGAUAACGAACGAGACCCCGUCCUACUCACUAGACCUUGGAUCCUCUUGUCCAAGUUCUUCUUAGAGGGACAACUGCUUUUACCUUGAACUACAUGAAAUGGGGCAAUAACAGGUCUGUGAUGCCCUUAGAUGUUCUGGGCUGCACACGCGCUACACUGAACAGGACAUCGUGUUCUCGCUAGCUCGAGAGAGCUUGCCAACCCGUUGAAUUCUGUUCGUGCUAGGGAUUGAGGCUUGCAAUUGUUUCUCAUGAACGAGGAAUUCCCAGUAAGUGCAAGUCAUAAGCUUGCGCUGAUUACGUCCCUGCCCUUUGUACACACCGCCCGUCGCUACUACCGAUUGGAUGAUUUAGUGAGGCCUUCGGACUGGCUGCUCGUGGGGUCAAACCUGCUUGCGGCUCGGAAAGAUGUUCAAACUGUAUCAUCUAGAGGAAGUAAAAGUCGUAACAAGGUUUCCGUAGGUGAACCUGCGGAAGGAUCA
rnacentral:rRNA from 1 species